UACAGAGGGGGCAAGCGUUGUUCGGAAUUACUGGGCGUAAAGGGCGCGUAGGCGGCCAACUAAGUCAGACGUGAAAUCCCCAGGCUCAACCUGGGGACGCCACCCGAUACUGCUGUGGCUAGAGUCCAGUAGGGGAGUGUGGAAUUCCCGGUGUAGCGGUGAAAUGCGCAGAUAUCGGGAGGAACACCAGCGGCGAAGGCGGCACUCUGGGCUGGAACUGACGCUGAGGAGCGAAAGCGUGGGUAGCAAACAGG
rnacentral:rRNA from 1 species